CAGACAAACCCAAGCAGAAAAACCCAGCAAGAGAAUAAACAUACAGAAACCAAUGAAUCAAAGAAAAUAACAAAACAGACCAAAAAUGAAACAGACAAUCAGACAAAAUCUCAAACCCUGACACUAAUAAUGGUUUAAUUA